rnacentral:tRNA from 1 species
UUAGAAAAACAGGAAUCGAACCUGCACUAAGAGAUCAAAACCCUCCAUACUCCCCUUAUAUUAUUUUCU